AGUAACAAUCCGGAAACGGGUGCUAAUACCGCAUAGCUUUCUUGAUCGCAUGAUCGGGAAAGGAAAGACGGCCUUUGUGCUGUCGCUUAUGGAUGGACCCGCGGCGUAUUAGUUAGUUGGUGAGGUAACGGCUCACCAAGACGAUGAUACGUAGCCGACCUGAGAGGGUGAUCGGCCACAUUGGGACUGAGACACGGCCCAAACUCCUACGGGAGGCAGCGAGUAGGGAAUCUUCCGCAAUGGACGAAAGUCUGACGGAGCAACGCCGCGUGAGUGAAAGAAGGUUUUCGGAUCGUAAAACUCUGUUGUCAGAGAAGAACAAGUUGGAGAGUAACUGCUCCAGCCUUGACGGUAUCUGACCAGAAAGCCACGGCUAACUACGUGCCAGCCGCCGC
rnacentral:rRNA from 1 species